rnacentral:rRNA from 1 species
GCUGCGAGCGAACAGGGAAGAGCCCAGCACCGAAUCCCGCGGCCGAUACCGGACGCCGGGAAAUGUGGUGUUAGGGAGGGUCCAUUAUCCCGAGGUUAUGCGGUGCGUCCAAGUCCUUCUUGAACGGGGCCACAGCCCAUAGAGGGUGCUAGGCCCGUAGUGACCGCUGCUAAUCGCGGGAGGAUCUCUCCUCAGAGUCGGGUUGCUUGAGAGUGCAGCCCUAAGUGGGUGGUAAACUCCAUCUAAGGCUAAAUAUGACCACGAGACCGAUAGCGAACAAGUACCGUGAGGGAAAGUUGAAAAGCACUUUGAAGAGAGAGUUAAAGAGUACGUGAAACCGUUUAGGGGUAAACCUGAGAAAUCCGAAAGGUCGAAGGGAGAAAUUCAUUCGCGUUUCGCUAUUAGCGUUAAGCGGUCGUGUGACGGAGAACGCGUUCGCGCGUUCACCGCACCUUCCGUUUUUCGAUCCGAUGGCGAACGCGUGCACUUUUCUCCUGGUAGGACGUCGCGAUCCGUUGGGUGUCGGUCUACGGCUCUCGGCGGAGCCCGUGCGUACGGCUUGCCGUCACGCGCGGACCCGAGUGUCCCGGCUGACUCGCUCGACGGUAUACGAAAGGUUUAAGGCCGCUCUCUUUUUUUGAGCGUUCGACUCGUUGCAAGCGCGCCGGAUGUGUUGGCGAUCGGACCUAGCGCCGGUUCUGACCUCCGGUGACUGUUGGCGACGAAGUUCUCGAACAGACCUCUAACCGAUCUGCGAC